UAGGUCACCUGAGUAAACUCAGGUGACCUAUUGCUAUCCGUUUUCGUCCGUCGUCGUGCGUCGUCCGUCGUGUGUUAACAUUUGAACAUUUUCAGCUUCUUCUCAGCAACCACUGAACCAAUUUCAGCCAAAUUUUGCACAAAGCAUCUAUGGGUGAAGGGGAACAAAAAUUGUGAAUUUCAUGAUCCCUGCCCCCCUGGGGCCUGAGGGGUGGGGCCAAAACCACUAAAAUUAAUGCAAUCUUUAAAAAUCUUCUUCUUUACUCCUGGACAUCAAGCAGUCAAACUAUUUGCAUGAUUGUAAUCAGCAUUGAGUCCUCUACCAAAAUUGUGAAAUUCAUGGCCCUGGGGUCACGGGUUCUAGUGCUAGGGCGGGGCUUAAUAAGUAUACAGUGAAAAUGCAUUAUUUCUUUGAAAAUCUUCUUCUCUGCUCCUGGGUAUUAAAUAAACCAAUUAAGUACAUAGUUAUGAUGAGCAAGAGUGCCUCUACCAAAAUUGUGAAUUUUAUGGCCCCAGGGUCAAGGGUUCUGGUGUUGGGGAGGGGGGCACUAUUGAUUAUAUAGUGAAAAUACAUGAAUUCUUUGAAAACCUUCUUCUCUGCUCCUAGGUAUUAAAUAAACUAACUAAGUGCAUAGUUAUGAUAAGCAAGAGUGCCUCUACUAAAAUUGUGAAUUUUAUGGCCCCAGGGUCAAGGGUUCUGGUGUUGGGGGGGGGGGCUCUAUUGAUUAUAUAGUGAAAAUACAUGAAUUCUUUGAAAAUCUUCUUCUCUGCUCCUAGGUAUUAAAUAAACUAACGAAGUGCAUAGUUAUGAUAAGCAAGAGUGCCUCUACCAAAAUUGUGAAUUUUAUGGCCCCAGGGUCAAGUGUUCUGUUGUUGGGGGGAGAGGCUCUAUUGAUUAUAUAGUGAAAUUACAUGAAUUCUUUGAAAAUCUUCUUCUCUGCUCCUAGGUAUUAAAUAAACUAAUGCAUAGUUAUGAUAAGCAAGAGUGCCUCUACCAAAAUUGUGAAUUUUAUGGCCCCAGGGUCAAGUGUUCUGUUGUUGGGGGGAGAGGCUCUAUUGAUUAUAUAGUGAAAAUACAUGAAUUCUUUGAAAAUCUUCUUCUCUGCUCCUAGGUAUUAAAUGAACUAAGUGCAUAGUUAUGAUGAGAAAGAGUGCCUCUACCAAAAUUGUGGAUUUUAUGGCCCCAGGGUCAAGGGUUCUGGUGUUGGGGGGGGGGGGGCUCUAUUGAUUAUAUAGUGAAAAUACAUGAAUUCUUUGAAAAUCUUCUUCUCUGCUCCUAGGUAUUGAAUAAACUAACUAAGUGCAUAG